rnacentral:rRNA from 1 species
GCAAGUCGAACGAACAUGGACCUAGCUUGCUAGGAACCCAGUUAGUGGCAGACGGGUGAGUAACGCGUGGGAACCUACCUUGUAGUACGGAAUAGUCCUGGGAAACUGGGUUUAAUACCGUAUACGCUCUUCGGAGGAAAGAUUCAUCGCUAUAAGAUGGGCCCGCGUUAGAUUAGUUUGUUGGUGGGGUAAUGGCCUACCAAGACUACGAUCUAUAGCUGGUUUGAGAGGAUGAUC